CCUACGGGAGGCAGCAGUGGGGAAUUUUGGACAAUGGGGGCAACCCUGAUCCAGCCAUGCCGCGUGUGUGAAGAAGGCCUUCGGGUUGUAAAGCACUUUCGGCCGGAACGAAAUCGCGCCCGCGAAUAUCGUGCGUGGAUGACGGUACCGGAAGAAGAAGCACCGGCUAACUACGUGCCAGCAGCCGCGGUAAUACGUAGGGUGCAAGCGUUAAUCGGAAUUACUGGGCGUAAAGCGUGCGCAGGCGGCUUCGCAAGUCAGGCGUGAAAUCCCCGAGCUCAACUUGGGAAUGGCGCUUGAAACUGCGAGGCUAGAGUGUGGCAGAGGGAGGUAGAAUUCCACGUGUAGCAGUGAAAUGCGUAGAUAUGUGGAGGAAUACCGAUGGCGAAGGCAGCCUCCUGGGCCAACACUGACGCUCAUGCACGAAAGCGUGGGGAGCAAACAGGAUUAGAUACCCUGGUAGUCCACGCCCUAAACUAUGUCAACUAGUUGUUGGGGGAGUUAAAUCCCUUAGUAACGAAGCUAACGCGUGAAGUUGACCGCCUGGGGAGUAACGGUCGCAAGAUUAAAACUUCAAAUGAAUUGACGG
rnacentral:rRNA from 1 species